ACGGGAGGCAGCAGUGGGGAAUAUUGCACAAUGGGCGCAAGCCUGAUGCAGCCAUGCCGCGUGUGUGAAGAAGGCCUUCGGGUUGUAAAGCACUUUCAGUCGUGAGGAAGGUAGUGUAGUUAAUAGCUGCAUUAUUUGACGUUAGCGACAGAAGAAGCACCGGCUAACUCCGUGCCAGCAGCCGCGGUAAUACGGAGGGUGCGAGCGUUAAUCGGAAUUACUGGGCGUAAAGCGCAUGCAGGUGGUUUGUUAAGUCAGAUGUGAAAGCCCGGGGCUCAACCUCGGAAUAGCAUUUGAAACUGGCAGACUAGAGUACUGUAGAGGGGGGUAGAAUUUCAGGUGUAGCGGUGAAAUGCGUAGAGAUCUGAAGGAAUACCGGUGGCGAAGGCGGCCCCCUGGACAGAUACUGACACUCAGAUGCGAAAGCGUGGGGAGCAAACAGGAUUAGAUACCCUGGUAGUCCACGCCGUAAACGAUGUCUACUUGGAGGUUGUGGCCUUGAGCCGUGGCUUUCGGAGCUAACGCGUUAAGUAGACCGCCUGGGGAGUACGGUCGCAAGAUUAAAACUCAAAUGAAUUGACGGGGGCCCGCACAAGCGGUGGAGCAUGUGGUUUAAUUCGAUGCAACGCGAAGAACCUUACCUACUCUUGACAUCCAGAGAACUUUCCAGAGAUGGAUUGGUGCCUUCGGGAACUCUGAGACAGGUGCUGCAUGGCUGUCGUCAGCUCGUGUUGUGAAAUGUUGGGUUAAGUCCCGCAACGAGCGCAACCCUUAUCCUUGUUUGCCAGCACUUCGGGUGGGAACUCCAGGGAGACUGCCGGUGAUAAACCGGAGGAAGGUGGGGACGACGUCAAGUCAUCAUGGCCCUUACGAGUAGGGCUACACACGUGCUACAAUGGCGCAUACAGAGGGCGGCCAACUUGCGAGAGUGAGCGAAUCCCAAAAAGUGCGUCGUAGUCCGGAUCGGAGUCUGCAACUCGACUCCGUGAAGUCGGAAUCGCUAGUAAUCGUGGAUCAGAAUGCCACGGUGAAUACGUUCCCGGGCCUUGUACACACCGCCCGUCACACCAUGGGAGUGGGCUGCAAAAGAAGUAGGUAGUUAACCUUCGGGAGGAC
rnacentral:rRNA from 1 species